rnacentral:rRNA from 1 species
UACGAAGGGGGCUAGCGUUGUUCGGAAUUACUGGGCGUAAAGCGCGCGCAGGCGGUCUUCCAAGUCAGUGGUGAAAGCCCGGAGCUCAACUCCGGAAUUGCCAUUGAAACUGUUAGACUUGAGUACGAGAGAGGUGAGUGGAAUUCCCAGUGUAGAGGUGAAAUUCGUAGAUAUUGGGAAGAACACCGGUGGCGAAGGCGGCUACACUGGCUCGUAACUGACGCUCAGGCGCGAUAGCGUGGGGAUCAAACAGG